UACGUAGGUGGCGAGCGUUAUCCGGAUUUAUUGGGUUUAAAGGGAGCGCAGGCGGCUAAUUAAGUCAGUGGUUAAAGGCAGCAGCUUAACUGUUUUACAUGCCAUUGAUACUGGUUAGCUUGAGUUGACGGAAGGCAGAUAGAAUUUCUGGUGUAGCGGUGAAAUGCUUAGAUACCAGAAGGAAUACCGAUUGCGAAGGCAGUCUGCUGCGGUCACACUGACGCUGAGGCUCGAAAGUGCGGGGAUCAAACAGG
rnacentral:rRNA from 1 species